CAAGACUCUCUGCUAAAAUUUUCCCUUUACAUUUGGUUUGUCAUGUUGAGUUGUGCUUCCAAUCUAUGGAUUUCUCCUCAUGGUGUUCAUUUCCUCAUGCUUGCAGAUAGGAUCCACAGCAAAAUGGGUGAAGGUUAGUUUCUGCAACUAACAUAAUCUGAAAACCUCCCCUUGUCUACUUGCAUGGUACUUUCAGCAGUGUGUGCCUUUAGAAGCACAGCUUGUAACCAGUUUGGCUGCCUGAUUGGUAGUUCCAAAUGCAAGAUCAUGCAUCUGGAGAAUGCUGUGCCCCCAAGCUGGUGAGUUGGCCAAAAAUGUUUCAAAAAUGAUUGAUUCUCAUUUUGCAGAGAAGAUUGAUAUGUCAGAAGUGCAAGUGAUGUAUAGAUUGAAGACCCAGAAAACCAUCCCUCCAUGAAAGAUUUCACUGAAUGAAUAAGAUGAUAGUUUUACGACUUAAUUUUAUUUAUAUUUCCGAUGCGAAUUCGAUAAUGUGACAAGCUUCCAUUAAGAGGGAAUUUGAUAAUUUGUUGAAUUCUUUUAC